rnacentral:lncRNA from 10 species
GCCUGGGUGACAGAGAAAGACUUCGUCUCAAAAAAAAAAAGACUCUGUGUGUAUAUAUAUGUAGACAUAAGUAAACAUAUAAUUAAUGGAUACCAAACUAUUGUCUGAGAACAGAUUUUCUAUUUUAUUUAUUUUUCUUUUUUUUUGAGACAGUCUCACUCUGUCACCCAGGCUGGAGUGCAGUGGCACAAUCUUGGCUCACUGCAGCCUCUGCCUCCCAGGUUCAAAAGAUUUUCCUCCCUCAGCCUCCCGAGUAGCUGGGUUUAUAGGCACCCACCACCAUGCCUGGCUAGUUUCUGUAUUUUUAGUAGACAAGAUUUCGCCAUGUUGGCCAGACUGGUCUCAAACUCCUGACCUCAAGUGAUCCACCCACCUCAGCCUCCCAAGAUGCUGGGAUUACAGGCAUGAGCCAUCUCGCCCAGCCUGAGAACAGGUUUUCUAGUGUCUGACACUAAGUGUUCAAUAAAUGUGGAAAUUAAAUGA